rnacentral:rRNA from 1 species
UACGUAGGGUGCAAGCGUUGUCCGGAAUUAUUGGGCGUAAAGAGCUCGUAGGCGGUUUGUCGCGUCUGCUGUGAAAACUCGGGGCUUAACUCCGGGCCUGCAGUGGGUACGGGCAGACUAGAGUGCGGUAGGGGAGACUGGAAUUCCUGGUGUAGCGGUGAAAUGCGCAGAUAUCAGGAGGAACACCGGUGGCGAAGGCGGUUCUCUGGGCAUUACCUGACGCUGAGGAGCGAAAGCGUGGGGAGCGAACAGG